AGCGGGGCUGCUGCUCCUCCCAGCAUCCCUGGCGCGGCCAUUUCAGCCCCAUCUUGGCCGAGGGGAGGGAGCUGCAGCCGCCGCUUCAGCAGUUUGAAUUUCAGUUUCUCCAGGCUCUGCGAACCGGGCGCACCGAGGAGGAGCCGAAAAAGCUACCACCGCUACCUCAGACAGCCGGAGCGCCUCCGCUCGCCGGCCAAUCAGUCGGCCGCCGCCACCACCACCGCCGCCGCCCCUCACUCUUCUCAGGAGCCGCGAGGGGAGGCCGAGACCGCCGCCGCCCGCGGGGUGGCUCCCCCUGUAAGGGGAGGACCGAGCCGGCUUCCCCUCACCCGGAGCGGGUUUCCGCCAGAGACAGUCGACAUGUCCCUGGGGCUGAGCUCCGGCUAAAGCCGGGGAGGGGGCCGCCCGCCCGCGCCGAAGCUCCGCCGCCCGCCCGCGGACCUUCAGCCAGCCCCAGCCCGCCGCUCCUGGCUGAAUCAGGAAUCCCCGGCUCCAGAUUCGCCACUCCUUCCUCUUCUUCCCUCAGCGUCCGAGAGCCCAGAGCUGACGCCGGCACUGGCCUGAGGAGCCCGAGCGGGGCAGCACCGCCCCUCACGCCGCCGCCGCCUCCUCCCCUGCGCCCUCCCACUCCCACCCCCAGCCAAGGCCUGCUGACCGCGCCGAGCGCCGAGCUGGACUGACCACGGCGGCCCCGGAGACUGGAGGAGAAAGCAGGCGGCCCGCCCCUGGGAUCGCGCUCGCGCCGCCGCUGAGGGGAUUGAAUUGAGGCGCCGCGGCUGCGGGAGGCGAAAAGGAAGGAGGAGCCGCCGCGCGAGUGCGACGGGGGCAGAGCCAUAGAGAUCGACUCAGAAGGAAACCGGGAGGAGGAUGUCUCACAGAGCGGCCAGCGUCCGGAUCAGCCAGUGACUCUUAACAGCGGCGGGCCUCAGACCCCAGCGCGGACUCGGACUUUGUCUUUGGGGGCCCCUGCUCUGCCCUUCUGGUUUCCGGCAAGAUUGCAGAGGAGCCGGCGAGCCUCUCUGCCCUCCAGCUUUCCUCACCAUGUCCAAGAUGCCGGCCAAGAAGAAGAGCUGCUUCCAGAUCACUAGUGUCACCACGGCCCAGGUGGCCACUAGCAUCACCGAGGACACUGAGAGCCUGGACGACCCGGACGAGUCACGUACAGAGGACGUCUCCUCCGAGAUAUUCGACGUUUCUCGGGCUACGGAUUAUGGCCCUGAGGAGGUCUGCGAGCGCAGCUCCUCGGAAGAGACGCUCAACAAUGUUGGGGAUGCCGAGACUCCCGGGACCGUCUCCCCAAACCUCCUCCUGGACGGGCAGCUGGCGGCCGCGGCGGCUGCUCCCGCCAACGGAGGAGGAGCCGUUUCGGCCCGGAGCGUGGCUGGGGCGCUGGCCAGUACCCUGGUGGCGGCCGCCACCUCGGCCCCCUCCUCCGGGGCACCUGGCGCCCCGCCGGUCGCGGGCUCGUCUGCCGGGCCCGGGACCGCAGCCGCAUCACAGCCCCCCACCACUUGUAGUUCCCGUUUUCGCGUGAUCAAGCUGGACCACGGGAGCGGGGAGCCCUACCGCCGCGGCCGAUGGACGUGUAUGGAGUACUAUGAGCGGGAUUCAGACAGCAGCGUCCUAACCAGGUCCGGGGAUUGCAUUAGGCACAGCAAUACUUUUGACCAGACUGCGGAACGGGACAGCGGCCUGGGCGCCACCGGAGGGUCGGUGGUGGUGGUGGUGGCCUCCAUGCAGGGGGCGCAUGGGCCCGACUCGGGAACUGACAGUUCCUUGACUGCUGUGUCACAGCUACCCCCGUCGGAGAAAAUGAGCCAGCUCGCCCCGGCCCAGCCGCAGAGUUUUGGCGUUGGGCAGCCACAGCCACAGCCACCGCCGCCCGUAGGUGGGGCUGUGGUUCAAAGCGCGGCUCCAGUGCCGCCGUUCCCGGGAGCCGCGGCCGGGCCACAGCAAAUGAUGGCAGCCCCGCAGCCGAGCCAGCCCCAGGGAACCGGCCCCGGCGUCCUCCCGCAGGGGCCCAACGGACAGGGGCUGCCCCUGACGAAUGUAACCCUGACGCAGCCCGGCGUGGCCCUGCCGCAGCAGCCGGGCCCGGCCGUCAGCGCUCCUGCGACGCAGCAGCCCCAGCCGUUCGCGUACCCCCAGCCUCAGCUACCGCCCGGACACUUGCUGCCAGUCCAGCCCGCGGGUCAGAGUGAGUACCUACCGCAGCACGUGGCCGGCCUGCAGCCACCUAGCCCCGCGCAGCCCUCGUCCACCGGCGCCGGAGCGAGCCUUGCCACGGCUGCCAGCCUUCCAGUGGGCACCGGCCAGAGUGCCGCCUCGGUGGGGGCGCAGAUAAUGGGCGUGUCUUCCUUGCCCAGUGAAGCUGUGGCCCCGGGGCCGGGACCCGCGCCAGGCGGACAGGCCGCGCCUGGGCAGCCGGCCGGAGUGCCCUUGGCUGCUGUGGGAUGCGCCGUGCCGCCGGGCCUGGUUCCCCCUGGGACCGGGCAGCCCCAGUCCGUGCCUCCGCCGCAGAUGGGUGGCAGUGGUGCGCCGUCAGUCGUGCCUGGCGGCCCCCACGCCGUGCUGCCCGGAGUUCCAAACGUGCCUGCAGCCAUGCCCGCUCCAAGCGUGCCUAGUGUGUCUACCACCUCUGUUACUAUGCCAAAUGUACCCGCGCCUCUGGUCCAGCCGCAGCAGCUGAGCAGCCAUACGCCAGUCAGCAGGAGCAGCAGCAUAAUCCAGCAUGUUGGGCUGCCCUUAGCGCAAGGCACACCCAGUGCACCAAGUCUACCACAGUCUGACCUAAGCCAGUUUCAGACUCAGACCCAACCUUCAGUCGGGCAAGUUGACGAUACUAGAAGAAAAUCAGAACCCCUACCUCAACCACCACUUUCUCUCAUUGCUGAAAAUAAGCCUGUUGUGAAGCCUCCUGUUGCAGAUGCCCUGGCAAACCCCCUUCAGUUAACACCUAUGAACAGUCUGGCCACCUCUGUAUUCAGCAUAGCUAUUCCUGUUGAUGGUGAUGAAGACAGGUAUGGAAAUCUUACUUAAAAUAUUUGAUAGGAAUGCUUGACCAAACAUUUUAGUUUAGAAUGCAAC